GCGGGCGUAGCUCAAUGGUAGAGCUCCAGCCUUCCAAGCUGGAUGUUGCGCGUUCGAGUCGCGUCGCCCGCU
rnacentral:tRNA from 1 species